UGGGGAAUAUUGGACAAUGGGGGCAACCCUGAUCCAGCGAUGCCGCGUGGGUGAAGAAGGCCUUCGGGUUGUAAAGCCCUUUAGGUUGGGAAGAAGGUUAGUAGAGGAAAUGCUAUUAAUUUGACGGUACCAACAGAAUAAGCACCGGCAAACUCUGUGCCAGCAGCCGCGGUAAUACAGAGGGUGCGAGCGUUAAUCGGAUUUACUGGGCGUAAAGGGCGCGUAGGCGGUGAGAUGUGUGUGAUGUGAAAGCCCCGGGCUCAACCUGGGAAGUGCAUCGCAAACUGUCUGACUGGAGUAUAUGAGAGGGUGGCGGAAUUUCCGGUGUAGCGGUGAAAUGCGUAGAGAUCGGAAGGAACGUCGAUGGCGAAGGCAGCCACCUGGCAUAAUACUGACGCUG
rnacentral:rRNA from 1 species